rnacentral:tRNA from 1 species
GGCUCGGUAGCUUAGUUGGUAAAGCACUUGUCUUGCAUACAAGAGUCGUGGGUUCGAAUCUCACCUAAGCUC